AUUGAACGCUGGCGGAAUGCUUUACACAUGCAAGUCGAACGGCAGCACGGGGGCAACCCUGGUGGCGAGUGGCGAAUGGGUGAGUAAUACAUCGGAACGUGCCCAGUCGUGGGGGAUAACUACGCGAAAGCGUAGCUAAUACCGCAUACGAUCUACGGAUGAAAGCGGGGGAUCGCAAGACCUCGCGCGAUUGGAGCGGCCGAUGGCAGAUUAGGUAGUUGGUGGGGUAAAGGCUCACCAAGCCGACGAUCUGUAGCUGGUCUGAGAGGACGACCAGCCACACUGGGACUGGGACACGGCCCAGACUCCUACGGGAGGCAGCAGUGGGGAAUUUUGGACAAUGGGCGAAAGCCUGAUCCAGCCAUUCCGCGUGCAGGAUGAAGGCCCUCGGGUUGUAAACUGCUUUUGUACGGAACGAAACGCGCCGAGUUAAUACCUUGGCGUAAUGACGGUACCGUAAGAAUAAGCACCGGCUAACUACGUGCCAGCCGCCGCCGUAAUAC
rnacentral:rRNA from 1 species